rnacentral:rRNA from 1 species
AAUAAGCGGAGGAAAAGAAACCAACAGGGAUUGCCCCAGUAACGGCGAGUGAAGCGGCAACAGCUCAAAUUUGAAAUCUGGCCCCUAGGGCCCGAGUUGUAAUUUGCAGAGGAUGCUUUUGGCGAGGUGCCUUCCGAGUUCCCUGGAACGGGACGCCAUAGAGGGUGAGAGCCCCGUCUGGUUGGAUGCCGAGCCUCUGUAAAGCUCCUUCGACGAGUCGAGUAGUUUGGGAAUGCUGCUCUAAAUGGGAGGUAUAUGUCUUCUAAAGCUAAAUACCGGCCAGAGACCGAUAGCGCACAAGUAGAGUGAUCGAAAGAUGAAAAGCACUUUGAAAAGAGGGUUAAAUAGUACGUGAAAUUGUUGAAAGGGAAGCACUUAUGACCAGACUUGGACCCGGUGAAUCAUCCAGCGUUCUCGCUGGUGCACUUUGCCGGGCUCAGGCCAGCAUCAGUUUGCCCCGGGGGAUAAAGGCUUUGGGAAUGUGGCUCCCUCGGGAGUGUUAUAGCCCAUUGCACAAUACCCUGGGGCGGACUGAGGUUCGCGCAUCUGCAAGGAUGCUGGCGUAAUGGUCAUCAGUGACCCGUCUUGAAACACGGACC